UUCUCUCAUCACAUCCCUCAUUUCUCUCUCUGCUCUAUCUUCACAAAACAGACCCAGCAAACCAACACCUACAUAACAAAACAACCUUCCUCACUUUCAUCUGUAAGAGCCACGAUAGGUGGUAUCAUCAUGAUCCGAUGAAUGUGCUGAAGCCUUCUAUCUGACUCGACUUGAAUGCUUCUUCAAGGGUAGCACAAGACGGCCAUGAAAACUUUCCCUUUCCUAAU
rnacentral:misc_RNA from 1 species